rnacentral:rRNA from 1 species
AAUAGAUACCCGGGUAGUCCACGCCCUAAACGAUGCGAACUGGAUGUUGGGUUCAACUUGGAACCCAGUAUCGAAGCUAACGCGUUAAGUUCGCCGCCUGGGGAGUACGGUCGCAAGACUGAAACUCAAAGGAAUUGACGGGGGCCCGCACAAGUGGUGGAGUAUGUGGUUUAAUUCGAUGCAACGCGAAGAACCUUACCUGGUCUUGACAUCCACGGAACUUUCCAGAGAUGGAUUGGUGCCUUCGGGAACCGUGAGACAGGUGCUGCAUGGCUGUCAUCAGCUCGUGUCGUGAGAUGUUGGGUUAAGUCCCGCAACGAGCGCAACCCUUGUCCUUAGUUGCCAGCACGUAAUGGUGGGAACUCUAAGGAGACCGCCGGUGACAAACCGGAGGAAGGUGGGGAUGACGUCAAGUCAUCAUGGCCCUUACGACCAGGGCUACACACGUACUACAAUGGUGGGGACAGAGGGCCGCAAUCCCGCGAGGGUGAGCCAAUCCCAGAAACCCCAUCUCAGUCCGGAUCGGAGUCUGCAACUCGACUCCGUGAAC